rnacentral:rRNA from 1 species
UACGAAGGGGGCUAGCGUUGCUCGGAAUCACUGGGCGUAAAGCGCACGUAGGCGGCUUGUUAAGUCAGGGGUGAAAUCCUGGAGCUCAACUCCAGAACUGCCUUUGAUACUGGCGAGCUUGAGUUCGGGAGAGGUGGGUGGAACUGCGAGUGUAGAGGUGAAAUUCGUAGAUAUUCGCAAGAACACCAGUGGCGAAGGCGGCUCACUGGCCCGAUACUGACGCUGAGGUGCGAAAGCGUGGGGAGCAAACAGG